rnacentral:rRNA from 1 species
AUUGAACGCUGGCGGCAGGCCUAACACAUGCAAGUCGAACGGUAACAGGGAUCAGCUUGCUGAUUCGCUGACGAGUGGCGGACGGGUGAGUAAUGUCUGGGAAACUGCCUGAUGGAGGGGGAUAACUACUGGAAACGGUAGCUAAUACCGCAUAACGUCGCAAGACCAAAGAGGGGGACCUUCGGGCCUCUUGCCAUCGGAUGUGCCCAGAUGGGAUUAGCUAGUAGGUGGGGUAACGGCUCACCUAGGCGACGAUCCCUAGCUGGUCUGAGAGGAUGACCAGCCACACUGGAACUGAGACACGGUCCAGACUCCUACGGGAGGCAGCAGUGGGGAAUAUUGCACAAUGGGCGCAAGCCUGAUGCAGCCAGGCCGCGUGUAUGAAGAAGGCCUUCGGGUUGUAAAGUACUUUCAGCGGGGAGGAAGGGAGUAAAGUUAAUACCUUUGCUCAUUGACGUUACCCGCAGAAGAAGCACCGGCUAACUCCGUG